GGAAAUUUUGUUUUGGCAGGGGCAAACAAUGGCCAUGAUGUACAAGAUUAUUGCUAAGGCACUCGAAGAAGCAGGCCUUUCUGAUCAGUAUCACCCACAAGAGUAUUUAAACUUUUAUUGCCUUGGUAAACGUGAAGCUUCAUCUGAACAUAUUUAUUCCCAGAUAAAUCAGCAAUCUGACAACCGUUCACUGGCAGCAGUUCAAAAAUAUCGCAGAUUUAUGAUUUACGUCCAUUCCAAAGGGAUGAUAGUUGAUGAUGAAUAUGUACUUAUAGGAUCAGCAAACAUUAACCAGAGAUCCUUGGAUGGUUCAAGGGACACAGAAAUUGCAAUGGGUGCUUACCAACCAACCUACACAUGGGCUGGAAAAAAAUCUCAUCCACGUGCUCAGGUAUAUGGUUAUCG
rnacentral:misc_RNA from 1 species